rnacentral:rRNA from 1 species
UUCCGACGGUGAGGGGCGAAAGCGUGGGGAGCGAACAGGCUUAGAUACCCUGGUAGUCCACGCUGUAAACGGUGGGUACUAGGUGUGGGGUCCAUUCCACGGGUUCCGCGCCGUAGCUAACGCUUUAAGUACCCCGCCUGGGGAGUACGGCCGCAAGGCUAAAACUCAAAGGAAUUGACGGGGCCCCGCACAAGCGGCGGAGCAUGCGGAUUAAUUCGAUGCAACGCGUAGAACCUUACCUGGGUUUGACAUGGAUCGGGAGUGCUCAGAGAUGGGUGUGCCUCUUUUGGGGUCGGUUCACAGGUGGUGCAUGGCUGUCGUCAGCUCGUGUCGUGAGAUGUUGGGUUAAGUCCCGCAACGAGCGCAACCCUUGUUCACUGUUGCCAGCACGUUAUGGUGGGGACUCAGUGGAGACCGCCGGGGUCAACUCGGAGGAAGGUGGGGAUGACGUCAAGUCAUCAUGCCCCUUAUGUCCAGGGCUUCACGCAUGCUACAAUGGCUGGUACAGAGAGUGGCGAGCCUGUGAGGGUGAGCGAAUCUCGGAAAGCCGGUCUCAGUUCGGAUUGGGGUCUGCAACUCGACCUCAUGAAGUUGGAGUCGCUAGUAAUCGCAGAUCAGCAACGCUGCGGUGAAUACGUUCCCGGGGCUUGCACUCACCGCCCGU